rnacentral:rRNA from 1 species
UACGGGGGGGGCAAGCGUUGUUCGGAAUUACUGGGCGUAAAGGGCUCGUAGGUGGCCAACUAAGUCAGACGUGAAAUCCCUCGGCUUAACCGGGGAACUGCGUCUGAUACUGGAUGGCUUGAGUUUGGGAGAGGGAUGCGGAAUUCCAGGUGUAACGGUGAAAUGCGUAGAUAUCUGGAGGAACACCGGUGGCGAAGGCGGCAUCCUGGACCAACACUGACACUGAGGAGCGAAAGCCAGGGGAGCAAACGGG